CUCAUGGAGGACUUUGGCCAACCUGAGUCCCUGGUGGAGCAACGAGGUGACUCCAGCCCCUCUGCAAAUAGGGAAAGGGGUUCCCAAAAAGCACCAGAAGAAGGAGAGUUUCACGCAAAGGAGUGACAUGGUCUGACUUGCGUUUCAAGUGGAUCACUCUGGCUAGCGCGGAGAGCAUGGACCAAAGGGAGUAAUGGUGAAAGCCGAGAGCCUGAUGAAGAGGUUGUUACUGAUGAUCCAGAUGAUCUCCUCUCACCACACUCCUGAGGGCAGAGAUUUUUGUGUUUUGCUUAUGGCUCCAUUCCUAGCCCCUGGAACUGUGCCCAGCACUUAGUAGGUGCUCAAUAAAGUGCAGAAUGAACCUUUGCAUUUGGCCUCUCUUUGUUAUCUCAUACUUCAUUCAAAGCCUAUCGAUGCUAAUAAAAGAACCUGUGCAUUCCAGGCCCUGGGUGAAAUAUAGGUAGCAUCCAAAUGAACCACGCAGCCCCCAUCCCCACCCUCGAAGUGAGGGGCAUGGCUGUGUGC